rnacentral:rRNA from 1 species
UUGGAGGGCAAGUCUGGUGCCAGCAGCCGCGGUAAUUCCAGCUCCAAUAGCGUAUAUUAAAGUUGUUGCAGUUAAAAAGCUCGUAGCUGAAUUUCGGGAUCAGAUUGUCGGUCGUGCCUCGGUACGCACUGGCAUUAUUGGUUCCUACCUUCUGAAGAACCGCGAUGUCAUUAAUUUGGUGUCGUGGGGAAUCAGGACUGUUACUUUGAAAAAAUUAGAGUGUUUAAAGCAGGCUUACGCUUGAAUACAUUAGCAUGGAAUAAUGAAAUAGGACGUUUGAUUCUAUUUUGUUGGUUUCUAGGAUUGACGUAAUGAUUAAUAGGGAUAGUUGGGGGCAUUAGUAUUCAAUUGUCAGAGGUGAAAUUCUUGGAUUUAUUGAAGACUAACUACUGCGAAAGCAUUUGCCAAGGAUGUUUUCAUUGAUCAAGAACGAAAGUUAGGGGAUCGAAGACGAUCAGAUACCGUCGUAGUCUUAACCAUAAACUAUGCCGACUAGGGAUCGGAUGAUGUUAAUUUUUUAAUGACUCAUUCGGCGCCUUACGGGAAAC